CGGGAAUUUUGGGCAAUGGGCGAAAGCCUGACCCAGCAACGCCGCGUGAAGGAUGAAAUCCUUCGGGAUGUAAACUUCGCAAGAACAGGAAGAAUAAGCCGGUGCAAAUACCAUCGGUGAUGACGGUACUGUUUGUAAGCUCCGGCUAACUCCGUGCCAGCAGCCGCGGUAAUACGGGGGGAGCAAGCGUUGUUCGGAUUUACUGGGCGUAAAGGGCGCGUAGGCGGCCACCGCAAGUCAGUUGUGAAAUCUCCGAGCUUAACUCGGAAAGGUCAACUGAUACUGCGGGGCUAGAGUGCGGAAGGGGCAACUGGAAUUCUUGGUGUAGCGGUGAAAUGCGUAGAUAUCAAGAGGAACACCUGCGGCGAAGGCGGGUUGCUGGGCCGACACUGACGCUGAGGCGCGAAAGCUAGGGGAGCGAAC
rnacentral:rRNA from 1 species